rnacentral:rRNA from 1 species
UACGUAGGGUGCGAGCGUUGUCCGGAAUUAUUGGGCGUAAAGAGCUCGUAGGCGGUUUGUCGCGUCGACUGUGAAACCCGAGGCUCAACCUCGGGACGUCGGCGGAAACCAUUGGCUAGAGUCCGGAAGAGGAGAGUGGAAUUCCCGGUGUAGCGGUGAAAUGCGCAGAUAUCGGGAAGAACACCCGUGGCGAAGGCGGCCUCUCUGGGACGGUACUGACGCUGAGACGCGAAAGCGUGGGGAGCGAACAGGAU